CCUACGGGAGGCUGCAGUGGGGAAUAUUGGACAAUGGGCGAAAGCCUGAUCCAGCCAUGCCGCGUGUGUGAAGAAGGCCUUCGGGUUGUAAAGCACUUUCAGUGGGGAAGAAAGCCUUGGGGCUAAUACCCUCGAGGAAGGACAUCGCCCACAGAAGAAGCACCGGCUAACUCCGUGCCAGCAGCCGCGGUAAUACGGAGGGUGCGAGCGUUAAUCGGAAUUACUGGGCGUAAAGCGCGCGUAGGCGGUCUGAUAAGCCGGUUGUGAAAGCCCCGGGCUCAACCUGGGAACGGCAUCCGGAACUGUCAGGCUAGAGUGCAGGAGAGGAAGGUAGAAUUCCCGGUGUAGCGGUGAAAUGCGUAGAGAUCGGGAGGAAUACCAGUGGCGAAGGCGGCCUUCUGGACUGACACUGACGCUGAGGUGCGAAAGCGUGGGUAGCAAACAGGAUUAGAUACCCCAGUAGUC
rnacentral:rRNA from 1 species